AGAUAAGUUUUUGCCAUAACUAUGAAAAGUCAUUGCCCAUUAUAUGGCGUGGUAAACAUCCUUUCACAUGUGUAUGUAUUUUUCAUAGUAUGCUUCAACAGAAGUCACCUGGUAGUUUGUUUAUUUAAUUUUUUGGACAUUUGAUUGCCUUUAAUUGAUAGGACAGCUUAGAUAUGAAGGUGGGGGGGGGAGAAGGGAGGGAUGACAUGCAGCAAAGGGCCACAGGUCGGAGUCUUACCUGUGGCCACUGCGUCAAGGAGUAAAGCGUGUUAUACUGGACGCAGCGCAGCUGGCGCAUGCAAAUGUGACCUCAUGAGAUCGCCGUGAGUAUUUAUACCUGCGCUGGUGGUCGCGACACUAGUUGCAGUCUUCUCCUGAACAGCGGCGGCGCUAAUGAGCAAAUGCUACCGACGCUGCUCUUUCUACUGACUAGAAGAAGAAGAAAACCUCCUCAUAUGGGCGCCCAUAUAUAUAUAUAUAUGUCAAUGGCGCCCACUCUACCAGGAGGACUUCUGUUGACGAAUGAGGCUGUUCUCAUGAACCAUUCGUACAUAUCGCUACGAGAAAGCAUUAUGUACAGCAGUGGACGGCUCACUCUCCGGUGAAGGUGUUGAUCGGCAGCGACAGGACUUUGUCCACAUACUUGCUGAACAGCUGCUCUCGCUCCUGGCUCACACUGA